rnacentral:tRNA from 1 species
GGGGCUGUGGCUCAGUGGUAGAGUGCUUGCCUUGCUUGUAUGAGGUACUGGGGUGGAUCCUCAGCAUCACA